rnacentral:rRNA from 1 species
UACGUAGGGGGCAAGCGUUGUCCGGAUUUAUUGGGCGUAAAGAGCGUGUAGGCGGUUUGGUAGGUCCGCUGUGAAAACUCGAGGCUCAACCUCGAGACGCCGGUGGAAACCAUCAGACUAGAGUCCGGAAGAGGAGAGUGGAAUUCCUGGUGUAGCGGUGAAAUGCGUAGAUAUCAAGAGGAACACCAGUGGCGAAGGCGAGUCCCUGGACAACUUCUGACGCUGAGGCACGAAAGCUAGGGGAGCAAACAGG